AUGUGCCUACGGGGGGCAGCAGUGGGGAAUAUUGCACAAUGGGGGAAACCCUGAUGCAGCAACGCCGCGUGAGUGAUGACGGCCUUCGGGUUGUAAAGCUCUGUCUUCAGGGACGAUAAUGACGGUGCCUGAGGAGGAAGCCACGGCUAACUACGUGCCAGCAGCCGCGGUAAUACGUAGGUGGCGAGCGUUGUCCGGAUUUACUGGGCGUAAAGGGAGCGUAGGCGGACUUUUAAGUUAGUGGUUAAACGUCGGGGCUUCACCUUGAUUUGCCAUUAAUACUGUAAGACUCGAGUUCAGACGAG
rnacentral:rRNA from 1 species